UACGGAGGGUGCAAGCGUUAUCCGGAUUCACUGGGUUUAAAGGGUGCGUAGGUGGGUCUGUAAGUCCGUGGUGAAAUCUCCGAGCUUAACUUGGAAACUGCCAUGGAUACUAUAGGUCUUGAAUACUGUGGAGGCUAGCGGAAUAUGUCAUGUAGCGGUGAAAUGCUUAGAUAUGACAUAGAACACCAAUUGCGAAGGCAGCUGGCUGCACAAAUAUUGACACUGAGGCACGAAAGCGUGGGGAUCAAACAGG
rnacentral:rRNA from 1 species